rfam:Anncaliia algerae PRA109 cont4.346, whole genome shotgun sequence.
CAUCAGGUUGAUUCUGCCUGACGUGGAUGCUAUUCUCUGGGGCUAAGCCAUGCAUGUUUAUGAAGCCUUUAUGGGGGAUUGACGGACGGCUCAGUGAUAGUACGAUGAUUUGAUUGGGAGCCUGGAUGUAACUGUGGGAAACUGCAGGUAAGUUCUGGGGGUGGUAGUUUGUAGCUACUGCGUACCGAGUAAGUUGUAGGCCUAUCAGCUGGUAGUUAGGGUAAUGGCCUAACUAGGCGGAGACGGGAGACGGGGGAUCAGGGUUUGAUUCCGGAGAGGGAGCCUGAGAGAUGGCUACUACGUCCAAGGAUGGCAGCAGGCGCGAAACUUGCCUAAUCCUUAUUGGGGAGGCGGUUAUGAGAAGUAAGAUGUUUAGCAAGUAUAAAUUUGUUGUGAUUUACUGGAGGGCAAGUCGGGUGCCAGCAGCCGCGGUAAUACCUGCUCCAGUAGUGUCUAUGGUGAAUGCUGCAGUUAAAAUGUCCGUAGUUGUUUGUAUGUCUUUUGAGUGAUGUUUAUGGUUUUUAGUGGAUGUAGUUUUAUUGUAGCAGAGGACGAGGGGCACUGGAUAGUUGGGCGAGGGGUGAAAUACGAAGACCCUGACUGGACGAAGAGAAGCGAAGGCUGUGUUCUUGGACUUUUGUGGUGAUGAAGGACGAAGGCUAGAGGAUCGAAAUCGAUUAGAUACCGUUUUAGUUCUAGCAGUAAACGAUGCCGACUGGACGGGACUGUUUUAGUGUUGUCCGAGAGAAAUCUUAAGUAUGUGGGUUCUGGGGAUAGUAUGCUCGCAAGAGUGAAACUUGAAGAGAUUGACGGAAGGACACCACAAGGAGUGGAGUGUGCGGCUUAAUUUGACUCAACGCGGGGCAACUUACCGGUUCUGAAGUGAGUGUGAGAGUGUUUUUACAUGAUGCUUACGGCGGUGGUGCAUGGCCGUUUUAAAUGGAUGGCGUGAGCUUUGGAUUAAGUUACGUAAGAUGUGAGACCCUUUUUGACUGUGCUCUAUGGGGCAAGGGAGGAAUGGAACAGAACAGGUCCGUUAUGCCCUGAGAUGAAGCGGGCGGCACGCGCACUACGAUAGAUGCCUAUGUGGGCUACUGUGAGGGAUGAAGCUGUGUAAUGGGCUUCUGAACGUGGAAUUCCUAGUAAGAAUGAUUGAACAAGUUAUUUUGAAUGUGUCCCUGUCCUUUGUACACACCGCCCGUCGCUAUCUAAGAUGACGCAGUGGACGAAGAUUGAGAGGUCUGAGUCUUUCGUGUUAGAUAAGAUAUAAGUCGUAACAUGGCUGCUGUUGGAGAACCAGCAGCAGGAUCAGUA